UUGGGCUGAAACCUUUGAGUCGCAUUCUCUUCUUCUCUUUCUAAAGUUUAUCCGCCUUGAGCAGAAUGUUCUUUUAUACUUUUUAAUCGUCAUCUUCCAUCCGAAUUCGUCAUCUCCAAGUUCAUCAUCAUACGAAUCCUUCGCCAUCAAGAACCAUCGACAUUAUCUGAGUUUUAGGAGGAUGUGUGAGAUGUAUCUUCCUGAUGAAUCUCUGGAUCGAGCUUUUUUUUUUUUUUUUGAUAAGUCCCUGGAUUAAGUUUCGUUCGCGCCGGUUCGUCUUAGAUUCGUGUCCUCCAAAACGUUACGGAUUCAUCAAUUCAUCGCCAUUAAGAAGCAAUUUACGACCCACAACUACCACAAUCAAACAUUCAAUGUUUAUCCUCCUAUAAAAAGGAUCGUUGCUCUAUAGGUUCUCUCACAUGAUCCAUCAACACCAAAAUGUUCAUAUUCAUCUGUACAUCCAAUUGUUCCCAUAAAGGAAUAUAAUGAAAUCAUCUAACCUGUUCGUCGGUCAGGCUAUCUUGGAAGACCACUGAAUAUCGAGACUACUUUCAGAGUUUCCACCGGCUGUGCUCAUGGCUUUGGUUUCUUUUUCUUCGCUGGUCCCAGUGUUACUGUGAUAGCCAUAUUGCUCAUUCACAUCACUGAUGUUAAAACUAUAGUUUUACUCGCUAAAAAGUUAAAAUAGUAUUUCCAGAAGCGGUGGUGAUCACGGUGGCAGAGGAGGGGGUCGCGGUGGUGGUGGUCAUGAAGACCAUGUCGGCAUGGAGAAGAAGAAGAAUGCGAGGCAUCGAAAAGAUGUGGAAUGGUUCGUCGACCAGUGACAUGGAGACGAUGGAUCUGGGACUAUUCUAAGGAUCACCGCUAUUCUAUUUAACUAGAGCAUGUGUCAUUCAAGUGUCAUGGAACCUUGGUGACAUUCGGAGUUGGUCCUGUGCUCAAAUUCCGGUAUCCAAAAACAGAGUAGCGAUGGAAAUUGCAGGUAGUGUGACGAGAGAGCACAGAUUCCAAUCUUAUAUUGCAAGGUUUGGCCCAAGUUGGCUACAA